rnacentral:rRNA from 1 species
GAUCCUGGCUCAGGAUGAACGCCGGCGGUGUGCCUAAUACAUGCAAGUCGAACGCGUUGGCCCGAUUGAUUGAUGGUGCUUGCACCUGAUUGAUUUUGGUCACCAACGAGUGGCGGACGGGUGAGUAACACGUAGGUAACCUGCCCAGAAGCGGGGGACAACAUUUGGAAACAGAUGCUAAUACCGCAUAACAACGUUGUUCGCAUGAACAACGCUUAAAAGAUGGCUUCUCGCUAUC